AGACGCUAACUACGAGAAGCGAGUCCCGGGGAUGACAUAUCUUUAUGCUAGCAAUUAUCUGCUAGCUAGCUGAUCGAAAAAGAAAACAUGCAGUUGUCAAAUGGACAGUUGUUAGGGGGACAAAUAACCCGGAGCUCGUUAACUAUGGAUUAUGAGUGAGUGUCAGGCAGAGUGAGGCAGUGAACAUCAGCCAAUUUAGAUUACAACGGAAGCCCCUACCAGCUGUUGAGACAUACUUAUCCUGAGAUCUGAAAAACUGACCAAUAAUUUGAUUUCGACAGGAUGCAGUUAGGUAAGCUGUCCAGAUA